rnacentral:rRNA from 1 species
AUCUCCAGCUUGCUGGGGGGAUUAGUGGCGAACGGGUGAGUAACACGUGAGUAACCUGCCCUUAACUCUGGGAUAAGCCUGGGAAACUGGGUCUAAUACCGGAUAUGACUCCUCAUCGCAUGGUGGGGGGUGGAAAGCUUUUUGUGGUUUUGGAUGGACUCGCGGCCUAUCAGCUUGUUGGUGAGGUAAUGGCUUACCAAGGCGACGACGGGUAGCCGGCCUGAGAGGGUGACCGGCCACACUGGGACUGAGACACGGCCCAGACUCCUACGGGAGGCAGCAGUGGGGAAUAUUGCACAAUGGGCGCAAGCCUGAUGCAGCGACGCCGCGUGAGGGAUGACGGCCUUCGGGUUGUAAACCUCUUUCAGUAGGGAAGAAGCGAAAGUGACGGUACCUGCAGAAGAAGCGCCGGCUAACUACGUGCCAGCAGCCGCGGUAAUACGUAGGGCGCAAGCGUUAUCCGGAAUUAUUGGGCGUAAAGAGCUCGUAGGCGGUUUGUCGCGUCUGCCGUGAAAGUCCGGGGCUCAACUCCGGAUCUGCGGUGGGUACGGGCAGACUAGAGUGAUGUAGGGGAGACUGGAAUUCCUGGUGUAGCGGUGAAAUGCGCAGAUAUCAGGAGGAACACCGAUGGCGAAGGCAGGUCUCUGGGCAUUAACUGACGCUGAGGAGCGAAAGCAUGGGGAGCGAACAGGAUUAGAUACCCUGGUAGUCCAUGCCGUAAACGUUGGGCACUAGGUGUGGGGGACAUUCCACGUUUUCCGCGCCGUAGCUAACGCAUUAAGUGCCCCGCCUGGG